GGAGCACGCUGCACUUCCGGCUUGUGACUGCUGUGAUUUGUCUGCUCGAGCGUCGGGUUCACCCCCCCCUACUCGCCGAAGUAACACAGUAAUGCAAUGCGAGUAGCACUGAUAGUUGUCUGCACGUUGCAUUCUCGGGACGUCUUCCCUCUGGAGCGACUCAAACUCUGCGUAACGUGGCUGAGAGAUGAAGGUGGUGGUAUCUCCCUUCCUGUGUGCUGUGCUCACUGAUUGUUUGCGUGUUCACGGGUGACUUUCCCUGAGAUCCUGUUCCAUCCUUGUUCCCCUUUCCCCCUCCAUCAGGUAAGCCUCAG
ensembl:lncRNA